CCUACGGGUGGCAGCAGUGAGGAAUCUUCGUCAAUGGCCGUAAGGCUGACCCAGCCAAGUAGCGUGAGGGAAGACUGCCCUCUGAGUUGUAAACCUCUUUUAUGCAGGGAUACAGGUGUUCACGUGUGGGUGUUUGCAGGUACCGCAUGAAUAAGGACCGGCUAAUUCCGUGCCAGCAGCCGCGGUAAUACGGAGGGUCCGGGCGUUAUCCGGAUUUAUUGGGUUUAAAGGGAGCGUAGGCCGGUCUUUAAGCGUGCCGUGAAAUUUUGUGGCUCAACCAUGGGAGUGCGGCGCGAACUGGAGACCUUGAGUGCGGGGAAGGCAGGUGGAAGUCGUGGUGUAGCGGUGAAAUGCUUAGAUAUAACGAAGAACCCCGAUUGCGAAGGCAGCCUGCCGCAGCGUUACUGACGCUGAAGCUCGAAAGCGCGGGUAGCGAACAGGAUUAGAUACCCCGGUAGUC
rnacentral:rRNA from 1 species